CAGUAGCCGCGGUAAUACGUAGGUGGCGAGCGUUGUCCGGAAUCAUUGGGCGUAAAGGGAGCGCAGGCGGGCAUGUAAGUCUUUCUUAAAAGUUCGGGGCUCAACCCCGUGAUGGGAAAGAAACUAUAUGUCUUGAGUACAGGAGAGGAAAGCGGAAUUCCCAGUGUAGCGGUGAAAUGCGUAGAUAUUAGGAGGAACACCGGAGGCGAAGGCGGCUUACUGGACGACAACUGACGUUGAGGCUCGAAGGCGUGGGGAGCAAACAGGAUUAGAUACCCCUGUAGUCCCUGUCUCUUAUACU
rnacentral:rRNA from 1 species